GUAAAUUAGGUCAUAAUUAGUGAGUCAAUCGUCCAAUCGAUUAAUUAAUAACCAACUAGGUCUCAUUGUAAGAAAGCUCAAUAGUAAGCUACGUGUAUAUAAAAAAAAUAAUGGAAAAGAAAAUAGAUGAACAACAAAUAAUAAAAUAAAAAUGGGCUUAAAGUAGAAGAAGCCCAAAUUUGGGCGCAUUACAAAACAACAUGGGGGUUUAAUUAGCCAUAAGUGGUUCUAGCCCAAUUCA
rnacentral:lncRNA from 1 species